ACACUGGUGUCAACCAAUGCUACUGCCCUUCGGACGAGGUUGCCAAGAGGGCGUUGGUUGAUGGCCUAGAGUCUUCCCAGAUUCGCGUGUUUGGUUUGCCCGUCAGGCCCUCGUUUUUUCGGCUGUAAAGAAAACUGCAAGAGCUCUCGGCGAAGCACUAUUCAGUGCAGAACUUGGUAAACCAAUUGGACAGAUCACCAUGGAAAGUCCAGUAAAGGUAAUAGAUCAGAUGAUUCGAGACCCAAAUGGAGAAAUGGAUGGGUGCUUGUGACUGCAUUAUAACCAAAGCUGGACUUGGAACAAUUG